rnacentral:rRNA from 1 species
GACGAACGCUGGCGGCGUGCUUAACACAUGCAAGUCGAACGGAAAGGCCCUGCUUUUGUGGGGUGCUCGAGUGGCGAACGGGUGAGUAACACGUGAGUAACCUGCCCUUGACUUUAGGAUAACUUCAGGAAACUGGGGCUAAUACCGGAUAGGAGCUCCUGCUGCAUGGUGGGGGUUGGAAAGUUUCGGCGGUUGGGGAUGGACUCGCGGCUUAUCAGCUUGUUGGUGGGGUAGUGGCUUACCAAGGCUUUGACGGGUAGCCGGCCUGAGAGGGUGACCGGCCACAUUGGGACUGAGAUACGGCCCAGACUCCUACGGGAGGCAGCAGUGGGGAAUAUUGCACAAUGGGCGGAAGCCUGAUGCAGCAACGCCGCGGGCGGGAUGACGGCCUUCGGGUUGUAAACCGCUUUCGCCUGUGACGAAGCGUGAGUGAAGGUAAUGGGUAAAGAAGCACCGGCUAACUACGUG